GGGGAAUCUUCCGCAAUGGGCGAAAGCCUGACGGAGCAACGCCGCGUGAGUGAUGACGGCCUUCGGGUUGUAAAGCUCUGUUAAUCGGGACGAAAGGCCUUCUUGCGAAUAGUUAGAAGGAUUGACGGUACCGGAAUAGAAAGCCACGGCUAACUACGUGCCAGCAGCCGCGGUAAUACGUAGGUGGCAAGCGUUGUCCGGAAUUAUUGGGCGUAAAGGGCGCGCAGGCGGCUUCUUAAGUCUGUCUUAAAAGUGCGGGGCUUAACCCCGUGAUGGGAUGGAAACUGGGAAGCUCAGAGUAUCGGAGAGGAAAGCGGAAUUCCUAGUGUAGCGGUGAAAUGCGUAGAUAUUAGGAGGAACACCAGUGGCGAAAGCGGCUUUCUGGACGAAAACUGACGCUGAGGCGCGAAAGCCAGGGGAGCGAACGGGAUUAGAUACCCCGGUAGUCCUGGCCGUAAACGAUGGGUACUAGGUGUAGGAGGUAUCGACCCCUUCUGUGCCGGAGUUAACGCAAUAAGUACCCCGCCUGGGGAGUACGGCCGCAAGGUUG
rnacentral:rRNA from 1 species